UACGGAGGAUCCAAGCGUUAUCCGGAAUCAUUGGGGUAGGCGGCCUAGCAAGUCAGUGGUGAAAUCUCCCCGCUCAACGGGGAAACGGCCAUUGAUACUACUAGGCUUGAAUUAUUAGGAAGUAACUAGAAUAUGUAGUGUAGCGGUGAAAUGCUUAGAUAUUACAUGGAAUACCAAUUGCGAAGGCAGGUUACUACUAAUGGAUUGACGCUGAUGGACGAAAGCGUGGGGAGCGAACAGG
rnacentral:rRNA from 1 species